rnacentral:rRNA from 1 species
AUUGAACGCUGGCGGCAGGCCUAACACAUGCAAGUCGAGCGAGCGACGGACGGGUGAGUAAUGUAUGGGGACUGCCCGAUAGAGGGGGAUAACUACUGGAAACGGUCGCUAAUACCGCAUCCUAUCGGAUAACCCAUAUGGGAUUAGAUAGUAGGUGAGGUAAUGGCUCACAUAGGCGACGAUCCCUAGCUGGUCUGAGAGGAUGAUCAGCCACACGGGGACUUAGACAAGGACCAGACUCCUACGGAGGCAGCAGUGGGGAAUAUUGCACAAUGGGCGAAAGCCGGAUGCAGCCAUGCCGCGUGGAUGAAGAAGGCCCGAGGGUUGUAAAGUACUUUCAGUCGGGAGGCGUUACCGACAGAAUAAGCCCCGGCUAACUCCGUGCCAGCAGCCGCGGUAAUAC